rnacentral:rRNA from 1 species
GACGAACGCUGGCGGCGUGCUUAACACAUGCAAGUCGAACGGAAAGGCCCUGCUUUGGUGGGGUGCUCGAGUGGCGAACGGGUGAGUAACACGUGAGUGACCUGCCCUUGACUUUGGGAUAACUUCAGGAAACUGGGGCUAAUACCGGAUAGGAGCUCCGGCUGCAUGGUGUGGGGGGGAGAGUUUCGGCGGUUGGGUAUGGUCUCGCGGUAUAUGAGCGUUGGGGUGGGGUAGGGGUACAACGAGGCUUUCGCGGGUAGGGGGCGUGAGGGUGUGAGCGGCCAUUUUGGGAGUGAGACACCGCCCAGACUCCUACGGGAGGGAAGAGGGGGGAAUAGUGCACAAUGGGCGGAAGCGUUGUGCAGCAACGCCGCGUGCGGUAACACGGUCUGCGGGGUGUACACCGCUUGCGACUGACACGACGUGUGAGUGACGGUAAUUGGUAAAGAAGCACCGGCUAACUACGUG